rnacentral:rRNA from 1 species
GACGAACGCUGGCGGCGGGCUUAACACAUGCAAGUCGAACGGAAAGGCCCUGCGUGUUUGGUGUUAUGGAUGGGCGAACGGGGGCGGAACACGUGAGUAACCGGCCCUAGACUUUGGGAGAACUUCAGGAAACGGGGGCUAAGACCAUAUAGGAGAUCCUGCUGCAGUGUGGGGGGGGGAAAUUUGCGGCGUUUGGGGAUGGACGCGCGGCUGAUGAGCUUGUUGGUGGGGGAGUGGCUUACCAAGGCUUGGACGGGUAGCCGGCAUGAGAGGGUGACCGGCCACCUUGGGCCUGAGAUAGGGACCAGACUCCUACGGGAGGCAGUAGUGGCGAAUAUUGCACAAUCGGACGAAGCCUGAUGAAGAAACGCUGCGUGCGGGAUGACGGCCUUCGGGUUGUAAAAAGCUUCCGCCUGUGACGCCGCGUGACUGACGGUAAUCAGUAAAGAAGCACCGGCUAACUACGUG